rnacentral:misc_RNA from 1 species
UCUUCUUGAUUUUGCGUCUUCAUAUGUGGUUUUUUGUUGUUUUU